rnacentral:lncRNA from 10 species
GUGUGCCAGACACUCUUCUGGGUAGUGGGAUGUUGUGGUGAAUGAUGAUCAUGUCUUCCAUCACGGUACUGCCGCAGCAAGGUACAAAACCGGCCAGAACUGGUACCAGGUGUACUGGGGUAGAGUGGAGUUUGAUUCAUGUUGUCGACUUGGACAAAGAGUAUAUUUUUAUACUUCCAUCCCCAUACAGAAACAGCCUGCAAUACAUUUCACCUUUUCAAAGGGGCAAAAGAGUGAUAUUUAACAUAUCACAUGGAUAAUAAGUGCUCAUUAAAUUGUAUUCUUGAUGGCUCACAUCUUUUUUGGAUUACAUGAAUUAUAUAUAAUUAUUUACCCUGAGAAAUAGCACAGGUUGAAAAAUAGACAUAUGUUCAAGAAAUACACAGAUGAAAACCACACAAUGGCUGAUUAAGGGUGGGGGUACCUCAGAGGAGACACCCAGCGUGGUAGGCUAAACAAUACAUUUUACCUUUUCAAAGAGGCAAAAGAAUGAUAUUUAACAUAUCACAUGGAUAAUAAGUGCUCAUUAAAUUAUUGUAUUCUUGUUGGCUCUGAUCUUUUUCGGAUUAAACAAAUUAUAUUUAAUUAUUUACCCUGAGAAAUAGCACAGGUUGAAAAAUAGACAUAUGUUCAAGAAAUACACAGAUAAAAACCACACAAUGGCUGAUUAAGGGUGGGGGGAACCUCAGAAACGCUGAGGAGACACCCAGUGUGGUAGGCUAAAUAAUGGCCCCAUACCUAAAUCCACAUCCCUAACGUCCAGAAUCUGCAAAUGCUACUUCAUAUGUAGUCUUGCAGACGUGAUUAAGUGAAGGAUCUUGAGAUGGCCAGAUUAUCUGGGUGGGUCCUAAAUCACAUGUAUCAUUAUGAGAGGGAGGCAGAGGGAAUUUGACCACAUACACAGGAGAAGAUGACAUGAAGAUGGAGAUAGAGAUUUGAAGAUACUGGCCUUGAAGAUAGAGUGAUGCAGUCACAAGCCAAGGCAUGCUGGCAGCCACCAGAAGCUGGAAAAGGGAAGGAGCAAUUCUCUGCUAGAGACUCCAGAGGGAGCCCGGCCCUGCUGCCACCUUAAUUUUGGCCUAGUGAUACUGAUUUUGGACUUCUAGCCUCUAGAGUUGUGACAGAAUAAACUUCUGUUGUCAGGGUUGGGAUAAUUUGUUACAGCAGCCACAGGAAACUAAUAUAGCCAGUCACUUUGGAUUAAUGAAUUAAUAACCGGAAAGACAACUACUGGCUACUCUGUUAACCAACCAUCUAGUAUCCAUUCUGGUUCACCGUGCCACUUCUGAUUUAACAUCCUUUAUUUUCCUUUUGCAUUCUAUUGAAUGCCAGGUGGCCCAUAGCUUUUCUCUUAAAAUGGUGAUUUCUAUGUCAGUGUUUUGAUGGUGGAUGGAACAGUGGGGUCUCCCUAUUUUCUUCAUAGAUACCCCAGAUAAUUUCGAUGCAUGGAUCCAGUUGGAAGGUAUUAAUCUAGGUAAGGGGUGCAGAAGUCUGAUGACUUUGCUCCACAACAGAGAAUACUACUUUGAUGACAGGCACGUGGUAUCUCCCAGAUCUAGGGUCUCUUUUCCUUGAAUAGCGGAAGAAAUAAGCAAACCCUUGAGGUUUGAUUUAUUUCCUUAUUUUCUUAAGCCCUGUCACUUCUCAAGGCCUUAAUAAAAUUUACUCUAAUGAGGUGAUCUUCAUUUGUUUACUAUAACCGACUCGAUCAUCAGCUAUAGCCUCAUUCUUUUUUUUUUUUUUUUUUUUGAUACUGAGUCUCGCUCUGUCACCCAGGCUGGAGAGCAGUGGGGCAUCUUGGCUCACUGCCAGCUCCGCCUCCCGGGUUCACGCCAUUCUCCUGCCUCAGCCUCCGGAGUAGCUGGGAC